AAUAAACAGUGUGGUGAAUUUUCUCUUCCUUCUUCUUCUCUCCUCUGGCCAAGAGAGUUGAAGGUUAUUUAAUGAAAAGCAUCCAGAAAGUGUCACCCAAAAAUCCAUGGAUGAAGUGCAUCUACUGCUGAAGAAAAAAGAAAAGAAAUGAGGAGGAUAAGGGUUGCAGGGAAGAGGGAAGGAAGCCUCUCAGGGACCGGCAGUAACUCUGAUGGAUGGCUGGACUCACUGGACUCACUCGCUUGGACUGGACACUUGCUCUCUUGGACUGAUGCCCUCAGAUGUGUCCAGCAACUACCCCUGAAGAAAGAAGAGAAGCUGAAAAGCGUAGCAGAGAAGCCAAAAAGCUUCACUGAGGCUGGGCUGACUGUCGGCACCUGUGGCUGCCUCUGACCCUGCCCGAAAGGAGCACCAGGCCUGGGCCGGUGUCUCAAAGAGCUGUUUGUUGUUGGGAUGGGCUGGACACUCAAAGAGCUGUAACGCUGCUGACCAGGUAACUGGCACUGCUGCCCAGUGCUGCUAACAGGUGUCCAGGUCACCUCUGAGAGCUGUCCAUUGUCUGGAGGCCUCACCCCCAUUGUUGCCUGGUCCUACAUCAUGUGCUGUCCACCCCAAACUUCACGCUGUUGCUGGGGCAGCCAUGGCAUCAUCUCAGCGGCCCUGCCUGUGGGUGCCUCCAGUUGUGGUGAGUUGAGUCCUGGCCCUCUGUUUGCUGACUACCCUGAGCUCCAGGCCCUUGUUGACAGGACAGCACCAUCUUGGAUGAAUGGCUUUCUGUUUAGGACUUUGGAUGCUGUGGACACUGUCUGGGCCAGUGGUGACUCUGGAGUCCAGUUUCAAAAUAAAGGUUUCACUGCGGGAAGUCAGUUAGGCCAGUGGAUGCAGGCGAAGUGUCACUUUCCAAGAUUGAUUUGAGAGCUGCUACCAACCUUUCACCUCGCCCCCAGAUCCACCACCUUGAUCAAGAAAGAGUAGAAGGAAUCCAUCGUGAAAUGGAAAUGGAAUAUACAGGAUUAAGUCAGAGAGAGUCAAGAGGUACAAGGAAUUGCAUGGACAGAUGGUUCGAUGGUCAAGGAACACACAGACUCUUCUUCCUCGACACAGCCUGUGUCACUGGUGACGCUGGUCUCUACAGCCAGUUGAAAUGGGACAGGACACCCAGGCCUGGUGCACAGCCAUGAAAUUGGGGUGAAAUAAAGUACAUGGAACAAAAUGUUAAAACAGGAAGAAAGAAGCGUGAAGGCUAUGCAGGAAAGGAAAGGAUGUUGAAAGAAGAGAGAAAAUACAUCUAUGUAGCUCCAGCACUUUUCAUAUAUUUGUGGUUCAAGUUCAAGUCCUUGACUGACUUCAUUGGAGCAAAUUAGGUCCAGUUUCCCAAACCGAGUCUCCACGGUCAUAUGAGUGACAAGUAAUCACCAGAUGGUUUCUUCUACAACCACUAAGGCAUUAAUCUUGAAAUCCCAGGCUACACUCUGAAAUGUGUGAAGCAGUUGGGGAAGGGACAGUCUCUGAAUGAUUUCAAGGCCUGAGAGUUCCAGAAGGGCUGAAGUGGACCCUCAUCAUGAGAGACUGUGGGACACUUCAAAGGACGACUUCUCUGGAUUCUUCAAAAAUGUCAAUGCUAGAAAAGACACAGAGAAAGCAGCAGUAAACUCUUCUCAUCGUAAAGAAGACUAAAGAGAUGGGCAAUUAAAUGCAAUGUGAUGCUUGAUUGGAUUCUGGAUUUUAGAGAAAUAUCCUCAAGGACCUUCUGAGACAAUUG